rnacentral:rRNA from 1 species
CCUACGGGCGGCACCAGUGGGGAAUAUUGCACAAUGGGCGCAAGCCUGAUGCAGCCAUGCCGCGUGUAUGAAGAGGCCUUAGGGUUGUAAAGUACUUUCAGUUGGGAGGAAGGCGUUGAUGCUAAUAUCAUCAACGAUUGACGUUACCAACAGAAGAAGCACCGGCUAACUCCGUGCCAGCAGCCGCGGUAAUACGGAGGGUGCAAGCGUUAAUCGGAAUUACUGGGCGUAAAGCGCACGCAGGGCGUUGAUUAAGUUAGCUGUGAGAUCCCCGGGCUUAACCUGGGAAUGGCAUCUAAGACUGGUCAGCUAGAGUCUUGUAGAGGGGGGGUAGAAUUCCAUGUGUAGCGGUGAAAUGCGUAGAGAUGUGGAGGAAUACCGGUGGCGAAGGCGGCCCCCUGGACAAAGACUGACGCUCAGGUGCGAAAGCGUGGGGAGCAAACAGGAUUAGAUACCCGCGUAGUC